UCGCCUGUUUUAUCAAAAACAUGUCUGUAUGAUUGUUAUAUAGAGUCUGGCCUGCCCGCUGAUUUAAAUUGAAGGGCCGCGGUAUUUUGACCGUGCGAAGGUAGCAUAAUCAUUAGUCUUUUAAUUGGAGGCUUGUAUGAAUGGUUGGACAAAAAGCAAACUGUCUCAAUUAUAUAAAUUGAAUUUAACUUUUAAGUGAAAAGGCUUAAAUGUACUAGGGGGACGAUAAGACCCUAUAAAGCUUUACAAUUAUUUAAUUAAAUUAUAAAUUGUUAGUAUAACUUAAUUUAGUUAAUAUUUGUUUCGUUGGGGCGACGAGAAUAUAAUUUUAAGUAACUGUUCUUUUAUAGUUAAUUACAAAUUUAUUUGGGUAAAGAUUGAUCCUUUAUUAUAGAUUAAAAGAUUAAGUUACUUUAGGGAUAACAGCGUAAUCUUCUUUGAGAGUUCAUAUCGACAAGAAGGGUUGCGACCUCGAUGUUGAAUUAAAGUAUCCUUGUGGUGUAGCAGUUACAGGGGAGGGUCUGUUCGACCUUUAAUUCUUUACGUGAUCUGAGUUCAGACCGGA
rnacentral:rRNA from 1 species